rnacentral:rRNA from 1 species
GGAAGAUGGUAAGGGCAGGCGGCGGAUGCCUUGGCACAGGAAGCCGACGAAGGACGCGGCAAGCUGCGAUAAUCCGCGGUGAGGGGCACACGCCCUUCGACCCGCGGGUCUCCGAAUGGGAAAACCCGGCGCGCCGUCGAGGCGCGUCGCCUCCGGGCCGAACACAUAGGCCCGGAGGGGGCAACCCGGGGAACUGAAACAUCUAAGUACCCGGAGGAAGAGAAAUCAAACGAGAUUCCCCCAGUAGUGGCGAGCGAACGGGGAAGAGGCCAAACCGGCCCGAGCGAAAGCCGGGCCGGGGUCGUGGGGCCGUCUACAGUGCGGUUACAAAGCGACGCGCGAGCGGAACCGGAUGGGAAGCCGGGCCGGAGGGGGUUAGAGCCCCGUACGCGAAGCGCGACGCCCGCCUGACGGUGCCCGAGUACCGCCGGACACGUGAAACCCGGUGGGAAGCAGGGGGGUCCACCCUCCAAGCCUAAAUACUCUCCUGUGACCGAUAGCGCACUAGUACCGCGAGGGAAAGGUGAAAAGCACCCCGGGAGGGGAGUGAAACAGCACCUGAAACCGCCUGCCCACAAGCAGUCGGAGCACCUGUUCGCAGGUGUGACGGCGUGCCUUUUGUAGAAUGAGCCAGCGAGUUGCGGCGCGUGGCGAGGCCAAGCCACGAAGCGAGCCGUAGCGACAGCGAGUCCGAACAGGGCGUCGAGUCGCGCGCCGCAGACGCGAAGCCGGGUGAGCUAUCCAUGGGCAGGCUGAAGCGGGGGUAAGACCCCGUGGAGGGCCGAACCCACCUAGGUUGAAAACUGGGGGGAUGACCCGUGGAUAGGAGUGAAAGGCCUAUCAAACCCGGAGAUAUCUCGUUCUCCCCGAAAUAGCUUUAGGGCUAGCCUCGGGCGUUUACCAUGGGGGGUAGAGCACUGGACUGCAGCGGGGGCCUCACCGCCUACCAACGCAGACCAAACUCCGAAUACCCAUGGUCCACAGCCCGGGAGUCAGAACAUGUGGGCUAAGCUGUGUGUUCGAAAGGGAAACAGCCCAGACCGCCCGCUAAGGCCCCCAAGUCGAUGUUGAGUGGCAAAGGAUGUGCGUCCGCCCAGACAACCAGGAUGUUGGCUUAGAAGCAGCCACCCAUUCAAAGAGUGCGUAAUAGCUCACUGGUCGAGUGGACAUGCGCCGACAAUACACGGGGCUAAGCAUCGCGCCGAAGCGGCGGACCGGAACAUGGGUUCCGGUGGUAGGGGAGCUUCCCGUGCGCGGCGAAGCCGAGGGACGACCCUCGGUGGAGCGCCCGGGAGUGAGAAUGCUGGCAUGAGUAACGAGAGCGGGGUGGAAAACCCCGCCGCCGUAAACCCAAGGUUUCCUGGGCGAGGCUAAUCCUCCCAGGGUCAGUCGGGGGCUAAGGCGAGGCCGGAAGGCGUAGCCGAUGCACAGCGGGCCGACAUUCCCGCACCCCCGGAAGGGCGCUACAACCGAUGGGGCGACGCAGGAGGGUAGCUGGACGGGGUUCUGGACGUCCCCGCGAUGGCGCGUAGGGCGGCUCCCAGUGAAACGCGGGAGCCACGGGCCUGAGGCGCCGGACGAAGCCACGAGGCGAAGCCAGUGAGCCCAUGCUGCCGAGAAAAACCCCUAGGGAGCCCGACGGGGCCCGUACCGCAAACCGACACAGGUGGGUGGGUAGAGAAUACCAAGGCGAUCGGGAGAACUAUGGUCAAGGAACUCGGCAAAAUCGCCCCGUAACCUCGGGAGAAGGGGCGCCGGCCUGGGUGGGGGGACACGCUCCCCGAGCCCGGUCCGGCCGCAGCGAAAAGGUCCAAGCGACUGUUUACCAAAAACACAGGACUCUGCUGAAGUCGUAAGACGACGUAUAGGGUCUGACGCCUGCCCGGUGCCGGAAGGUCACGGGGAGCCGUCAUCCUUCGGGAGAAGCGGCGAACCCAAGCCCCGGUAAACGGCGGCCGUAACUAUAACGGUCCUAAGGUAGCGAAAUUCCUUGUCGGGUAAGUUCCGACCUGCACGAAAGGCGCAACGACUUGGGCGCUGUCUCGACCAUGGACCCGGUGAAAUUGCACUAGUCGUGAAGAUGCGACUUACCCGCGGAAGGACGGAAAGACCCCGUGAACCUUUACUGCAGCUUGGCAUUGGCUGCCGGGGCGCCGUGUAGAGGAUAGGUGGGAGACUUCGAACCCGGGACGCCAGUCCCGGGGGAGUCGCCCUUGGAAUACCACCCUCGGCGCCUUGGCAUCCUAACCUGCGGCCGUUAUCCGGCGCAGGGACCGUGCCAGGUGGGUAGUUUGACUGGGGCGGUCGCCUCCUAAAAGGUAACGGAGGCGCACGUAAGGUCUGCUCGGGACGGUCGGCAACCGUCCUUCAGAGUGCAAGAGCGCAAGCAGGCUUGACUGCGAGACGGACAGGUCGAGCAGGUGGGAAACCAGGUUCUAGUGAUCCGGCGGCUCAGAGUGGUAUGGCCGUCGCUCAACGGAUAAAAGGUACUCCGGGGAUAACAGGCUGAUCUUCCCCAAGAGUCCACAUCGACGGGAAGGUUUGGCACCUCGAUGUCGGCUCAUCGCAUCCUGGGGCUGGAGCAGGUCCCAAGGGUACGGCUGUUCGCCGUUUAAAGCGGUACGCGAGCUGGGUUCAGAACGUCGUGAGACAGUUCGGUCCCUAUCCUCCGUGGGCGCAGGAGAACUGAUGGAGGCUGCCCCUAGUACGAGAGGACCGGGGUGGACGGACCUCCGGUGCACGGGUUGUUCGCCAAGAGCACCGCCCGGUAGCUGAGUCCGGUCUGGAUAACCGCUGAAAGCAUCUAAGCGGGAAGCCAGUCCCGAGAUGAGUCUUCCCUUCGGUAAGGCCCCAGGUAGACCACCUGGUUGAUAGGCAGCAGGUGCAAGCGCCGCGAGGCGCUCAGCCGAGCUGUACUAAUAGGCCGAGCUCUUCUUCCC